CCAGCCACACUGGAACUGAGAUAAGGUCCAGGCUUUUUAGCCAGCAGUGUGGAAUCUUGGACAAUGGACGAAAGUUUGAUCCAGUAAUAUUGCGUGAAUGAGGAAAGCAAAAAAGAUUAGUAGGCUGGUACCUAUUGAUCGGCUGUAAAGUUAUUUCGCUAGUAAAGAUUAUGACAUAACUAGAGAAGAAGCUCCGGCUAAUUUCGUGCCAGCAGCCGCGGUAAUACGAAAGGAGCAAGCGUUAUCCAAAUUGAUUGGGCGUAAAGGGUUUGUAGGCGGUAUUUUUUCGCGGUUUGUAAAAAAAUGAGAUUUAAUCUUGUUAUGACAUUCUGUACUUUAAUACUUGAGUCUAAUUGAGGAUAACAGAAUUCUAUAGGGAAGAGUAAAAUCUAUUAAUCUAUGGAGGAAUGCCAGAGGCGAAAGCGGUUAUCUGGGUUAGUACUGACGCUGAGAAACGAAAGCGUAGGGAGCAAACAGGAUUUGAUACCCUGGUAGUCUACGCUGUCAAAGAUGAAUAUUAAUAUUGGGUAAUUCUGGUAUACAGCUAACGCGUUAAAUAUUCCGCCUGGGGAGUACGGUUGCAAGACUGGAACUCAAAGGAAUUGACGGGGAUCUACACAAGUGGUGGAGCAUGUGGUUUAAUGCGAUAAUACGCGCGAAAUCUUACCAGUUCUUGAUUAUAAUGAAACAAUAAUGUUAUGUUAUUGCAUAUAUAAAAUAUAAAUUUAUUUUAUGUUAUCAUUUUACAGGUGUUGCAUGGCUGUCGUCAGCCCGUGCCGUGAGGUGUUUAGGUAACUCUUUUAACGGGCAAAACUCUUAUGUUAUUUUGGUACAUUUUAAUAAAUUAAUUUUUAUUAAUAAUACAACUAAUAACUACCAAUUUAAGGCCAAUUCUUCGGAAUUGGAGGAAGCUGAGAAUCACGUCAAGCCCUUAUGGCCCUUAUGAGCUGGGCUACACACGUGCUACAAUGAUUAAAUACAAAAAGUUAUACAAUAAAGUAAUUUGGAGUAAAUCUUUAAAAUUUGUCGUUUGUUCGGAUUAUAGACUGCAAUUCGUCUAUAUGAAGCUGGAAUCACAAGUAAUCGUAAAUCAGCACGUUACGGUGAAAUUGUACCUAGAUCUUGCACACACCGCCCGUCAC
rnacentral:rRNA from 1 species